rnacentral:rRNA from 1 species
AUUGAACGCUGGCGGCAGGCCUAACACAUGCAAGUCGAGCGAGUGGCGGACGGGUGAGUAAUGUCUGGGAAACUGCCUGAUGGAGGGGGAUAACUACUGGAAACGGUAGCUAAUACCGCAUACCAUCGGAUGUUCCCAGAUUGGAUUAGCUAGUAGGUGGGGUAACGGCUCACCUAGGCGACGAUCCCUAGCUGGUCUGAGAGGAUGACCAGCCACACUGGAACUGAGACACGGUCCAGACUCCUACGGGAGGCAGCAGUGGGGAAUAUUGCAAAAUGGGCGCAAGCCUGAUGCAGCCAUGCCGCGUGUGUGAAGAAGGCCUUCGGGUUGUAAAGCACUUUCAGCGGGGAGGCGUUACCCGCAGAAGAAGCACCGGCUAACUCCGUGCCAGCAGCCGCGGUAAUAC